AUUGAACGCUGGCGGCAGGCCUAACACAUGCAAGUCGAACGAGUGGCGGACGGGUGCGUAAUGUCUGGGAAAAUGCCCGAUGGCGGGGGAUAACUACUGGAAACGGUAGCUAAUACCGCAUACCCUCGGAUGUGCCCAGAUGGGCUGAGCUGUUAGGGGGGGUAACGGCUCACCUAGGCGACGAUCCCUAGCUGGUCUGAGAGGAUGACCAGCCACACGGGAACGGCGACACGGUCCAGAAUCCUACGGGAGGCAGCAGUGUGGAAUAUUGCACAAUGGGCGCAAGCCUGAUGCAGCCAUGCCGCUGGGAUGAAGAAGGCCUUCGGGUUGGAAAGUACUUUCAUCGAGGAGGCGUUACUCGCAGAAGAAGCAUCGGCUAACUCCGUGCCAGCAGCCGCGGUAAUUC
rnacentral:rRNA from 1 species